CGGGACAGAGACAGCACAGACAGGGCAGCACGAGUUACCUACACUGCUCUGACAACGUGUCAACUCUGCUCUGGAAGGAACACAUCUAGG
ensembl:misc_RNA